CAUUAACGAGUUAGGGUCUUCUAGGCCCGACCUCCCAACCCUAUGUUUAUUGAACCUCUGUUGCUUCGGCGGACCCGUCUCAUGACCGCCGGAGGACCGCCGAAAGGCGUCCUCUGGCCAGCGUCCGCCGAUGGCCAACCACUUAAAACUCUGAAUGAAUCGUGUCAUAUGUCUAAGUCUAUGAUUAAAUUAAAGCAAAACUUUCAACAACGGAUCUCUUGGUUCUGGCAUCGAUGAAGAACUCAGACAAAUGCCAUAAGUAAUGCUAAUUGCACAAUUCCAGUCAGCCAUCCAAUCUUUGAACUCCCAUUGCAACGGAUAUGUUUGUUAGGGCAUCGAUGAAGAACGCAACGAAAUACGAUAGGUAAGGAGAAUUGCAGAAUUCCAGUGAGUCAUGGAAUCUUUGAACGCACAUUGCGCCGUUUGGUAUUCCGAAGGGCAUGCCUGUUCGAGCGUCAUUAUCACCCCUCAAGCCCCGCGCUUGGUGUUGGACGGCCGGUCGAGCGAUCGACCCCUCCUAAAGACAAUGACGGCGGCCUGCGGUUCCCCCGGUACACUGAGCUUUUAACCGAGCACGUAUCGGACCAGGGCACCCGGGACCCGGUCCUCUCCUUUAACUAGGAAACUUCUAAGGUGACCUCGG
rnacentral:misc_RNA from 1 species